CAGGCGAAAGCAAUCCAUCUUCAUCCAGAACCUUUCACGGUUGAAAACGGAUACCUCACACCGACAUUCAAAAUAAAGCGACCCGUGUUGAACAAACUGUUCUCGGAGCAAGUCAAAGAUAUGUAUAAAACUUUAAACUAUUGAAUUUAAGCAAUUCGGAAAACAAGGUGAACCUAUAGAAUCUGUGAAGUACGGGUUCACGUGACGUAUAGCAGGAUAUGAGUGAUUGCGUGCAUAAACACUCAACGCGCGUAUUAUCCCCACUGACACCGAAUGGGUACGUGAUUCCAGCUAGACUAUAUUUUGAUCAAGGCAAGAAGAACGAAAUCCAACACCACAGCUAGAAAGAGCGUCUUAGAAUGAGUAAAACUGCAAAGAUUGGUUGCUACAUGUUGUAAAAUGAAGAAAAUAUAGCCCAUUUUGUAUUCUCAAAUUGUGUAUAUAAUGUGUAUUACGCGCAGUAAAAAUAACCACUUUCGGCUCAAAUAUAUACAAAAUUUGUGAACUUCACAGGGCUAUAUUUUCCUCAUUUUACAACAAUUCGCAACCAAACUUUGCAAUUUUACUCAUUUUAAGAUGCUCUUUCCAGCUGUGGUAAUUGAUUUCGUUCUUC